CUAAGUUUUAAAUUUUCCGUUUUAGUUUUACUGUGGAAACACACAGACAGUGCCCAGUACGAAAAUCUUACCUGAGCCUAUCCCAGCAUGCAUUGGGCGCGAGGCAGGAAUACACCUUAGACAGGUUGCCAAUCCAUCGCAGGGCCCACACACCAUCUCCUCUCACAGUCAUCCUCGAGGGUCAAUUUUAGAGUCUCCAGUUAGCCCACCUGCAUGUCUUUGGACUGUGGGCGAUAAUCGGAUUACCUGCCGGAAACCCACGCGGACCUGAGGACACCACGCAAACUCUACACAGAAGACCUUCGUCGGGAUUCAAAACCGACUCACCCAGCAGCAGUCACAGGCUCAGCAUCUUCAUCUUCAUCUUCAUCUGCAGCCAUAUGGCCCCUUCCAGCCAGAACCCUUAAUGAGUGACCAGGAGAAAACUGAGCGAAGAUCUUUGCUCUGGGAGAGGAACCCCAGGAGAGAAGCUUUGUUAUGAAUCCAGCUGCCGACUCCACAGGAGCAGAACAUUUCACCCGUCCAUGCCUCAGGGACGUGUCUCCACUCAAGGUAAAGGAGAAGGCUGCUGACGUGACCUUUGACCUUUGACCCUGCAUAUCUCGCUCGGCUGUCAGCAUCACAGAGACUUCUGUGUAUUAAGGGGAAGAGGCAGAAGCUCUCUUUUGAGGCCACACAUUCAUUAGAAUCAGUUUCUUUCAGCAGGUAUGAAGGAUCUCAGCAGGUAUGAAGGCUUUCAGUAGUCUGUACCUGUAUCUCAGAGGCAGAGCACAACAUUUAUCAGCUUCAGAAAAGCCUAAAUAAAAGUGCAAGGCUAAACAGGCAGGCAACUCUAAAUGAGUCGGCUGGAAAAAUUCAAUCUGGGGCAGGAGCCAGGCGGUUUUAUCCGGAAGGAUCCUGCGGGAGCUCUGUGUGGAGCGGGGUGCAGUGUUCAGGUGGCAGAGCACUAAAAUACUCCCCACAUCUGGCGCUCAGGUACCCACACCUGGCGCUCAGGUAACCCACACCUGGCGCUCAGGUACCCACACCUGGCGGUGUGCGCGGCGUUGAGCACGGCGGAGCAACAGGGAACAGGUAACGGCAGUACCGAGCGGCGGAGAGGCGGGGUGCGGCCGGAUGAGUCAUCCUCCGGCUCGUUCUCCACAUACGGACGAGCGCGCGUGUGGCGCACAGCUACUGAAGCCCGCGCUGCAGGCCUUGAGCUCUUAGGUCCAGCAGUUAAGGGCUCCAGCAGUUCUGUGAUGGUCUGCGGUUCAUUUUCCCUGAGCGGAUUGAGUGCAGUGAUCCCCUUAGAAGCCAAGGUCAGCGCUAACGAGCUGCUAGCUACGUGAUCACCUGCAGCUCAGGGUGCAGCACUGUGGUAAUGCUUGAGUAAAACAUUCUCACUUUCUCUCAGAAAACAGGAGAGAGUGGAGAGAGUGGGUAGUUUAUUCUUUAUAAACUGGAAAAGUAUUGUUUCUUUUGACAGUUAUUUAGUGAGGGAAAAAAAGUCAGCCUUCAAUUUAUUCGGGAUUUUUCUGAUUGCAAAAAUGCUGCAAAAAUCGGUUUGAGGAACAAGAAACUGGCCGACCGCACAGCAAUGUGAUUCUCACCUGCAGGGGCAGGGCCACGGGAAGAUCUCACAUUGGGCCCCACCACCCCUGUCAGUUAGAGCCCUUGGAAUCACCCUAACUCUCCCCUCUCGUCCACAACCCCCCCCAGCCCCCCGGCCCCCCUGCUCACCUGGCUUGUACUCGUUCAGGUUGAAGGUACUCAGCUUAAAGAGUGAUGUUGGGAGGAGGAGCUUUUUUUGGGUAGAGGUUUUUUUCCUCCGUGCUACAGAGCCAUGGCCUCACAUUCAGAGGAGAAAAUGAAAUGUUGGGUUUACCCCCCCCCAACCCCCAUAAUGGAAAUGAUCCUGCUGAUUUUGCUGAGCAUUGCUGAGCAGGUUUGACCCCGUCCUCAUUGGGCGUAUUAAGAAGUAUGGCAAUGAGGCCGGAGGAAGGCUCUCGUCCUCAUCCUCCUCUGCUUGAGAGGAGCUCCUGGCUUUAAUGGGGCCGAGCGCUCAAGCAGAAAUAACACUGCAGGUGCAAAAGCCAGCGUUUCUUUUUCACGUUUGAUUCUGCUGCAGAUUUAACACGCUUUGAUCAGCUUACUUUCCUCGUUUGUUACGUUUCAGUCCGAACAUUAAAUAUCAUAAUUAUAUAUUUUUACCCAUAUUUAGUCAUACUGGUGAGUCUCUCCUAAAAACUAAGGGGAGAGGUAGUUGUUAAGAAGAGCGGCAGAAAUGGAGAUGACGAUGGAGGAUUCCUGGACAAUCCGUCAGUCCUCCACUACCUCCUUUUGUCUUCCUCCUCUACGCUUGGCUUAUUUCCCGUGCUGCUUCUAACCCGCAAAUUGCUCUCCACAUUCACAUCCUCUCUGCUCCCCCCUCCCAGCAGGCACUGUGCUGCAGGGUACAAUGUUAGUGUCCUACCUGAGAAUCAAACCUGCGGCCUUCGGGUUACAGGCCCAGAUCCCUGACCAUUAUACCACACUGCCACCCAUCCCAGUGGACCGGACGCCCAUCUCUCAUCUUUACCCAAAACUAUUGGGUGCACAGCCUCCAAACAACAGCUUCUCUGUCUCCUACGCAACGACCUGAACCCACAGCCAGUCGGGUUCCAGGUCUGACCGCUCCACCGGGACUGCAGUUUCAACGGUCACAGUCGGAGCGGCUCGGUCAAAAGGCUUGCACGGUUUGCGCCAGACCUCGCUGACCGAGCCGUCCCGUUGGCCUGGGGGGGCUCUGAUUCCCCCCCUCGCUCUUGACCCCUGUCCCCCCUUGCUUCUCUUCUCUCUU